GAUAAGUAAUGUGAAUUGCAGAAUUCAGUGAAUCAUCGAAUCUUUGAACGCACCUUGCGCUCCUUGGUAUUCCGAGGAGCAUGCCUGUUUGAGUGUCUCGA
rnacentral:rRNA from 2 species